rnacentral:misc_RNA from 1 species
GAUGAAGAACGCAGCGAAAUGCGAUAAGUAAUGUGAAUUGCAGAAUUCAGUGAAUCAUCGAAUCUUUGAACGCACAUUGCGCCCGCCAGUAUUCUGGCGGGCAUGCCUGUUCGAGCGUCAUUUCAACCAUCAAGCCCCCGGCUUGUGUUGGGGACCUGCGGCUGCCGCAGGCCCUGAAAAGCAGUGGCGGGCUCGCUGUCACACCGAGCGUAGUAGCAUACAUCUCGCUCUGGGCGUGCCGCGGGUUCCGGCCGUUAAACCACCUUCAUAACCCAAGGUUGACCUCGGAUCAGGUAGGAAGACCCGCUGAACUUAAGCAUAUCAAUAAGCGGAGGA